UUCACAUUUUGUAUACAUAUAAUGACCUGAACGUUUUACAGAAUAGUCAUAUUGGUAUUGAGGCAUUCUUGUGUUGUGUGAAUUUAAGUUUGCUUUAUGUCGUGAACUUAGGGGCUAGGUGGGGCCACAAAAUAGUGUCAACAUAUUUCAUAGGAAUAAUGAUUGAAAAUACAAAAAAAAAAUUGAAAAUCAAAACAGCUGACCAAGAGCAAGGUGACUCGGGUGAGUGAUGUGGCCUAAAGGCUUCUUUGGGAUUAAACUCUAAGGUUAUAAAGUAUGUUUCUAACAAUUUAUCUGAAAUUAUUUGUAUGUGUUGAUUUUGGGGUCCAAAAAGUCAAGGUCACUACUGGACUUCAUAGAAAAGCUAGUAUAAAUUCAUUACGGAAGCAUAUGCCCUGCGUUGCAGAGUUCUUAUUCAUAUUCUAUCAUGAAACAGAAAACAAAGUCGCUUGACAAAAUUCUCUUCCAAAAAUUUACUGAGCAUUUUCAACUUGCAGACAAUUUUACUUGCCUGUCUGAUUUCUGGUGAUUCCAGCACUCAAUGCUACUUUGGUUUUUCAGCUUUCUGGACCUUAAAAGAUGUUGACACCCUGCUGAUGGAGCAGAUCCUAUUUCUUAGAAGCAGAAAGCAGUUCUCUUACCAUCAGAUCUGAUCCAUUUUUGGAGAUAGCCUUUUGUAUGGAGCUGGGUAACGGUUACUGGAGACAUGCUGUUGAUUGAUGAGGAUAAUUUUCCCGAGACUCUGACAUAUUGCAGGACCUGGAUAGCUCUACUGGUGUUCAAAAUGCCAGGACUGUGGAGUGUUGUGAUGUUAUUGAUGGUCAACAGAAGACUGUGACCUUGAAUCUGAAGAUCUGUGAUGAAGACUGGACGUUUGGGGUCACUCUCUGUUAUAGUACUACAAAUCUAACAGUGAACCGUUCAGCCACAAAGAGGUUGUCUCUGAUGUCCACACAUAAACCUACUGGACGUUCUAAAUGACAGUGAAUGUAACGGAGGAACUGUCCGUCCUGAUCUAGGAUGUGGAUACGGUGAUUGUUAGUGUCUG